CCCAAGUAAAGGGAGCACACACCCUUGUUUCCACGCCAGCACACCUUCCCUGUGUGUGUGUGUUUCCCUGUAGACAGCCUGCCUCAAAGCAAUGGCGCCAUCUUACAAGUUUAAUGUGAUUAGAAUGGAAAACACACACACUAGAGUUGAAAUCUGAAGAUGUGAGUUUGAAUUCCAAUCUUGACACUGACUUCAACGCUUUGACCAAUCUAGAGGGAACUCAUGCAAGUUGGAUCAAAGGCUGUGGAGCCUACAUGGACCUGGACUAGGCCCUUUGCUUGAUACGCCAAAAAGAACUUGACCACUAGGAAAGCCGGGCCAUUCCAUAUAAAGUCUGAGAUGAUUACCAGUAUCCCCAAGUGAGAGAGAACAAAGAAGAAGCUAAGCAAGGUCACACCAAAGGACAUAGAGAUUGCCAGAAAAACAUUC